AUAUUUUAGAGCACUGUGGUUUAAAAAUGUAUCAUAUUAUUUUGCUAGCUGUUAUCACUUUGCCUUAAUGUCUUUUUCUCUUUACAGAAAAAAAAGUACAGUAUUCCUGGUCAGGGGACGAAAGGUGCAAUAAAUGGAAUAUGGCAAGCCAAUGUGCCACUCUCCCUUUCAUUAAGGAAUGAAAAGAAGCAGAACAUGGCCACGGACACUAACCACUCUACGUUGCACAUGGCAUUUGAUCGUCUUUCCUUUCCAGCCUCCAUCUUCUACUGUCUCACGUUAGUGAGAAGCCAUCUCUCUGGCAAAGCUCACUAUAAGGACACUACUCAAAAAUGAUUCCUCCUUCAGUUCUCUAGCUACCUGACAUUUUUUUAAUAGAACGACUCCAGCACACUAUGUCAGAACGUCUUAUAACAAGCAUAUCUUGUCAUCAC
rnacentral:lncRNA from 1 species